rnacentral:rRNA from 1 species
GACGAACGCUGGCGGCGUGCCUAAUACAUGCAAGUCGAACGCAGUUGCGAACGGGUGAGUAACACGUAGGUAACUGCCUCAUAGCGGGGGAUAACUAUUGGAAACGAUAGCUAAUACCGCAUACUUUGAGAUGGACCUGCGUUGUAUUAGCUAGUUGGUGAGGUUAAGGCUCACCAAGGCCACGAUACAUAGCCUGCCUGAGAGGGUGAACGGCCAAACCGGGACUGAGACAACGCCCAGAAUCCUAAGGGAGGGAGCAGUAGGGAAUCUUCGGGAAAGGACGGAAGGCUGAACGAGCAAAGGCGCGGGAGUGAAGAAGGUGGUUGGAUCGGAAAGCUAUGUUGGUAGAGAAGCGGUAACUAACCAGAAAGCGACGGCUAACUACGUGCCAGCAGCCGCGGUAAUAC